rnacentral:rRNA from 1 species
CCUACGGGGGGCUGCAGUCGAGAAUCAUUCACAAUGGGGGAAACCCUGAUGGUGCGACGCCGCGUGGGGGAAUGAAGGUCUUCGGAUUGUAAACCCCUGUCAUGUGGGAGCAAAUUAAAAAGAUAGUACCACAAGAGGAAGAGACGGCUAACUCUGUGCCAGCAGCCGCGGUAAUACAGAGGUCUCAAGCGGUGUUCGGAAUCACUGGGCUUAAAGCGUGCGUAGGCUGUUUCGUAAGUCGUGUGUGAAUGGCGCGGGCUCAACCCGCGGACGGCACAUGAUACUGCGAGACUAGAGUAAUGGAGGGGGAACCGGAAUUCUCGGUGUAGCAGUGAAAUGCGUAGAUAUCGAGAGGAACACUCGUGGCGAAGGCGGGUUCCUGGACAUUAACUGACGCUGAGGCACGAAGGCCAGGGGAGCGAAAGGGAUUAGAUACCCGAGUAGC